rnacentral:rRNA from 1 species
UUGGAGGGCAAGUCUGGUGCCAGCAGCCGCGGUAAUUCCAGCUCCAAUAGCGUAUAUUAAAGUUGUUGCAGUUAAAAAGCUCGUAGUUGAAUUUCGGGAUCAGAGUGUCGGUCGUGCCUCGGUACGCACUGGUAUUAUUGGUUCCUACCUUCUGAAGAACCGCGAUGUCAUUAAUUUGGUGUCGUGGGGAAUCAGGACUGUUACUUUGAAAAAAUUAGAGUGUUUAAAGCAGGCUUACGCUUGAAUACAUUAGCAUGGAAUAAUGAAAUAGGACGUUUGAUUCUAUUUUGUUGGUUUCUAGGAUUGACGUAAUGAUUAAUAGGGAUAGUUGGGGGCAUUAGUAUUCAAUUGUCAGAGGUGAAAUUCUUGGAUUUAUUGAAGACUAACUACUGCGAAAGCAUUUGCCAAGGAUGUUUUCAUUAAUCAAGAACGAAAGUUAGGGGAUCGAAGACGAUCAGAUACCGUCGUAGUCUUAACCAUAAACUAUGCCGACUAGGGAUCGGAUGAUGUUAAUAUUUAAUGACUCAUUCGCGCCUUACGGAAAC